rnacentral:rRNA from 1 species
AGUGAACGCUGGCGGUAGGCCUAACACAUGCAAGUCGAACGGCAGCACAGUAAGAGCUUGCUCUUACGGGUGGCGAGUGGCGGACGGGUGAGGAAUACAUCGGAAUCUACUUUUUCGUGGGGGAUAACGUAGGGAAACUUACGCUAAUACCGCAUACGACCUGCGGGUGAAAGCAGGGGAUCUUCGGACCUUGCGCGAUUGAAUGAGCCGAUGCCGGAUUAGCUAGUUGGCGGGGUAAAGGCCCACCAAGGCGACGAUCCGUAGCUGGUCAGAGAGGAUGAUCAGCCACACUGGAACUGAGACACGGUCCAGACUCCUACGGGAGGCAGCAGUGGGGAAUAUUGGACAAUGGGCGCAAGCCUGAUCCAGCCAUACCGCGUGGGUGAAGAAGGCCUUCGGGUUGUAAAGCCCUUUUGUUGGGAAAGAAAAGCAGCAGGUUAAUACCCCGCUGUUCUGACGGUACCCAAAGAAUAAGCACCGGCUAACUUCGUG